rnacentral:tRNA from 1 species
GCGCCUGUAGCUCAGUAAGGACAGAGCAGAGGAUUCCUAAUCCUCGUGUCGCAGGUUCAAAUCCUGCCAGGCGCA